GAUGAACGCUGGCGGUCUGCUUAACACAUGCAAGUCGAACGGAAUCCCUCGGGAUUUAGUGGCGGACGGGUGAGUAACACGUAAGAACCUGCCUCUAGGACGGGGACAACAGUUGGAAACGACUGCUAAACCCGGAUGAGCCGAAAGGUAAAAGAUUUAUCGCCUAGAGAGGGGCUUGCGUCUGAUUAGCUAGUUGGUAAGGUAAAGGCUUACCAAGGCGACGAGCAGUAGCUGGUCUGAGAGGAUGAUCAGCCACACUGGGACUGAGACACGGCCCAGACUCCUACGGGAGGCAGCAGUGGGGAAUUUUCCGCAAUGGGCGAAAGCCUGACGGAGCAAGACCGCGUGGGGGAGGAAGGUUCUUGGAUUGUCAACCCCUUUUCUCAGGGAAGAACGCAAUGACGGUACCUGAGGAAAAAGCAUCGGCUAACUCCGUGCCAGCCGCCGCCGUAAUAC
rnacentral:rRNA from 1 species